GUUCAGGACAAUGGUCGCAAGCCUGAUCCAGCAAUGCCGCGUGCAGGAUGAAGGCCUUCUGGAUGUAAACUGCGUUUGUACGGAACGUAAAGACCUGGGUAAAUACCCUGGGAUCAUGACGGUACCAAAAGAAUAAGCACACGCUAACGAAGAUCCCGCAUCCGCGGUAAUACGUAGGGUGCAAGCGUUAAUCGGAAUUACUGGGCGUAAAGCGUGCGCAGGCGGUUUUGUAAGACAGUGGUGAAAUCCCCGGGCUCAACCUGGGAACUGCCAUUGUGACUGCAAGGCUGGAGUGCGGCAGAGGGGGAUGGAAUUCCGCGUGUAGCAGUGAAAUGCGUAGAUAUGCGGAGGAACACCGAUGGCGAAGGCAAUCCCCUGGGCCUGCACUGACGCUCAUGCACGAAAGCGUGGGGAGCAAACAGG
rnacentral:rRNA from 1 species